GACGAACGCUGGCGGCGUGCUUAACACAUGCAAGUCGAGCGGAAAGGCCCUUCGGGGUACUCGAGCGGCGAACGGGUGAGUAACACGUGGGCAACCUGCCCCUCGCUCUGGGAUAACUCCGGGAAACCGGGGCUAAUACCGGAUACGACCACGGACGACAUCUUCUGUGGUGGAAAGUUUUUCGGCGAGGGAUGGGCCCGCGGCCUAUCAGCUUGUUGGUGGGGUAAAGGCCCACCAAGGCGACGACGGGUAGCCGGCCUGGGAAGGCGACCGGCCACACUGGGACUGAGACACGGCCCAGACUCCUACGGGAGGCAGCAGUGGGGAAUAUUGCGCAAUGGGCGAAAGCCUGACGCAGCGACGCCGCGUGAGGGAUGAAGGCCUUCGGGUUGUAAACCUCUUUCAGCAGGGACGAACACAGACGGUACCUGCAGAAGAAGCACCGGCCAACUACGUGCCAGCAGCCGCAGUAA
rnacentral:rRNA from 1 species